rnacentral:rRNA from 1 species
GACGAACGCUGGCGGCGUGCCUAAUACAUGCAAGUCGAACGAGAGCGACCGGUGCUUGCACUGGUCAAUCUAGUGGCGAACGGGUGAGUAACACGUGGGUAACCUGCCCAUCAGAGGGGGAUAACAUCCGGAAACGGAUGCUAAAACCGCAUAGGUCUUCGAACCGCAUGGUUUGAAGAGGAAAAGAGGCGCAAGCUUCUGCUGAUGGAUGGACCCGCGGUGCAUUAGCUAGUUGGUGAGGUAACGGCUCACCAAGGCCGUGAUGCAUAGCCGACCUGAGAGGGUGAUCGGCCACAUUGGGACUGAGACACGGCCCAAACUCCUACGGGAGGCAGCAGUAGGGAAUCUUCCGCAAUGGACGCAAGUCUGACGGAGCAACGCCGCGUGAGUGAAGAAGGUUUUCGGAUCGUAAAACCCUGUUGUUAGAGAAGAACAAGUGCUAGAGUAACUGUUAACGCCUUGACGGUAUCUAACCAGAAAGCCACGGCUAACUACGUG